UUCAGGAGGAACGGCAAAAGGGGGCUGCUGCUCGUCUGUGGUACUCGUUGGCUGUCUGUCUACAACUCUGCAUAGCCGUAACGCGAUGAUGAUGACAUGUGAUGUCAGCGCGAGCAGGGUGCGCGGGCAGGUUACAGGGGUCGUAUGCCAGCUCAGCAAGUGCCUAGCCAACGGGUAGCUUUUCUCCAGGCUGUGUGCGGUAUGUCUUGGAUUUGCCAUUAAUUUACCAUCUGCAGGGCUUGGAUGUGCUUGAGCUCUCUGGGGAUUCUUCCAUCUCCAUCAGUGAUGAAAAUACAGUCCAGAUGUCUUCAUCCCUUUUACCAUCCAUCCACAGUCAUACUGUUUUCACAAUAUCAGGACUGCCAAAAGAGCCUUCAUCACUUAAGAAGGGUGCUGAACAAAAACCCUUUUUGGCUGAUUUUAGAGAGGACCGUGUAAGGUUCAUAAAAUAUUCGUCCUCAGUGACGUGCUUCAAUAAAAAAAAAACUAACUUUUCAAUUUGAUUUGUGUUUAUAUAUGAGAUCUAAUAAAUCAUUGGCAGAAACACACGAUGAAAAACUUUGGACUCUCAUUCUACACUGAAAAAAGUGAUGACUGUCCCAGCGGUUUUCCGUGCACAUGAAAAUGUUUAUAUCCGGCCAUUAAAAGAGAAGUGUCCCUCAGUUUCACGUGUUGGACCUCUGACCCUAACAUCAAGGAUGCUCUCUUCCUGUUUUGGCUGUAACAGUGCUGCUAGGUGAAUAUACAGGGUCAUAUGACCCUGAUACAGGAUGGACAGGAACAGGAACAGACCUGUCCCAAUAGAGUGGACAGGAGUAAAAUCCAGUGUGUGCAGGUUUGGUGCGGAUGCUCAGAUGAUGAGGGAAGAAUGACGCAUAUCUGAACUAAAUUUACACUUUCUCGUGAUGUUUAUGAAAAAUCUGAUUUUUUUACACUUAUCAGGUAAGCCAAUAGCCUGGCUAGAGCAUGAAAUGAUUGGAUAUAAUGUUUGUGUUGUGGCUUUAGUGGAAGCCGACUGACUUACAGCUAUAGACUACACUGCCCACUACAGGUCAAAGUUGGCAAGUCCUACAACACAUGAACCAUUAAAAAUACAUUUCAACCACAACAUCUAAAAUUUCACUGGCAUUAAAAUAAACUAUAUAAAGAUAUUUUAAAAUAAUAGACCUAAAUAUCACAACUUUUUUUUUCUGAAUCACAAGUUGCUUAUGAAUCAUGACAUUCACCUGUUCUUCUUGUCACCCUCAUACUUUUCUCAGUAGGUAUCAUGUCCUCUGCAGAGUCAAAGCUCUGUCUAGACAUGCUGAAGGGGAAAAGGUAGCGACUCAUGCUUACUUUGCAGUACAGUCAUAAACAGGGGCAAUGAUCCAUGUUUAUAGCUCUCUGAUUUCUACUGGUAUGGUUUUCUCUUGCAAUGACAAGCUGUGUGUAUAUCAGCAAAUACUGGAGACAGAAAGAGAGAACAGUGAAUAUCUGGAGUAAUGCUCAGGUUCAGCGUAACUCAAAAAUAGGGGUUGAUCUAAUACUCUUUAUUACUGCCAGACUCACCCUGACCAUCGUCAACAAUGAUGUUACAAAAAUAAAUAUAGAACAGCAGAACAAUCACAUACAUUACACAUCCAUAAUAAAUAUAUCCAUACUAACAUCUAGCUCAGCUCUAUUAGGUCAAGUCAUGUGUCAGAUUUCUGACAGAAACUAAUACUUUUACUCAGCAAGGACACAUUAAAUUGAUUAAGUGACAAUGAAAUUUAAAAUAAAUGCUAUUCUUUUGAAUUUUAUAUUCAUCAAACAAUACUGAAAAAAAAGAAAUCACACUUUCCACAAAAAUAUUAAGCAGCACAACUGUUAUCAUUGAUAAAAAUACGAAAUGUUUCUUCAUCAUCAAAUCAGCAUAUUAGAAUGAUUUCUGAAGGAUCAUGUGUUACUGCUGAAGACUGGAGUAAUGAUGCUGAAAA